UACGUAGGGGCCCAGCGUUGUCCGGAUUCAUUGGGCGUAAAGCGCGCGCAGGCGGCCCGGUGUGCCGCCCGUGAAAUCCCCCGGCUUAACCGGGGGGGGUCGGGCGAGACUGGCGGGCUGGAGGCGGGUAGGGGGCAGCGGAAUUCCCGGUGUAGUGGUGGAAUGCGUAGAUAUCGGGAGGAACACCUGUGGCGAAAGCGGCUCACUGGACCACAACUGACGCUGAUGCACGAAAGCUAGGGGAGCAAACAGG
rnacentral:rRNA from 1 species